UGCUGGGAUUACAGGCUUGAGCCACCGCGUCCAGCCUAAAUGCUUUCUAAGAUGCUAUUUGAUCCUCACAAUAACUCUGAAAGUGGAAAAUGUACUGUCUUAGUCUUAGUCUGUUUUGUGUUGCUAUAACAGAAUACCCGAGACUGGGUAAUUUAUAAAAAGAAAAAAAAAAAAAAGAGGUUUAGUUAACUUAUGGUUCCACAGGCAGGGACACUCAACACGGAGCAGCCGCAUCUGGAAGCUUCUGGAAAGUCAGGCCUACUACAGACAUAUGCCCAGAUUCCAGAGACAUGGUGCUUGUGAUAUGUAAACAUCGUGACUGCAAGAUCCUAAGCCCAUCUUCCCCUGAAAAGGCAAAGUUUCCUUCACAAGUUUGAUGCCCAGUGUUCUGGCUGUACUCCCAUUGAAACCAGCUUCUCCAAAGAUGCAUGACAUCAGCCCAAAAAACACCUGAAUAUUCAUCAAAAGAAAAGGUCUGCUGAGAGCCUUGGGCUGCAUCAAAACAUGGUAGAGAAAUGGGAGCGGAACCAGAUGCAUGCAAAAAAGGCAAAACACAAUAGGCAACCUUGCUUUAUAACAAUCUGCUCUCAUGGGAACUAAUUCAUUCCUACAAGAAGUAACCCAGUCUAGCAAGAAAGACAUUAAUUCAUCUUAAUGAUGUAAUCACCCUUAAAGGGAUAACCUCCCAACACCACCACAUUUGGGACCAAGCUUCAACAUGAGUUUUUAUGGGGAUAUACUAUAUAUAUUCAAACUGUAGCAUGUACCAAUAUAUCUAUUUCACAGUUGAACAUAGGUAAGGCUCAGAGAAGCUUAGUGACUGGCACAAGGUCACUCAGUAAGAAAGUGGCACCAUUAGGGAUUGGAGUUCAUGCCGUCUGAUUCCCUGUAGGGGUUCUCUGUAAAGACAUCAUGCUUUUUUUUGUGCAGGGCUGAGCUAAAUGAAGUCAGGCCAGUCAUCAACAAAUCUUUAGGUCUUAGUUCAAAAAAGUCAGUCAGGGCCCAAGGCCCCUCAGUUUAUCGGUAUCCUCCUCUUGGAAGCAGAAGCCUGGCAGCUACUGGACCUGAAGGAGAGCAGGAGAGGUGAGAGGAGAGGAAGCCUCAACUCGAUGCUGUUGAGCUCAGCUUUCCAGGUAGCCAUCUAGCUGUUACCUGCAGCCCUUGCCUUUGUGCAGGUAAACGAAGAAGAGGUAAAGAUAGCCCCAGUUCUGCGUGGCAGAAGGCAAAAUGAAGGGUUUGGGGUUGCAAGACAAUAUUCUAGCUUUCCAGAACAAGGCCUUCCAGUCACAAUUCCAUACUUAGAGGGGAAUGAGCAGCACAAAUAUAGUCAAAAGACUGUGGUUCUGAGAGACAUCCCAGUUCAGACCUUUUCUUUUAAUAAAUAAUGCAGGUGGCUUCUAGGCUGAUGUCAUGCAUCUUUGGGGAAGCUGGUUUCAAUGGGAGCACAGACAGGACACUGUGCAUCAACUUUGUGAAUAAAACUUUCCCUUUUCAGGAGAAGAUGCACUUAGGAUCCCGUAACCAUGAUGUCUGCAUAUCACAAGCACCACUGUCUCUGAGAGCUGGGCAUAUGAUUAUGGUACUCCUAACCUUCCAGCUCUGCCAGUCUGCACUAAUUCUUAAUUCUCUCUUACCCUGAUUCUGUGCUCGGGAACACGCAGGUGGAGUGCCAAGCCAUUCUAUAGCACUUGCUUCAGGAAUGUAGAGAACCUGGAGAAGUCUCUUCUUGCCAGGGUAACACUUGACAUUUCUCCAAGUUGCCAACUAGUGGGCUCAGCGGUCUCACAUGAGGAACUCAGUAUCCCUAUGCAGAUGUGCGUGUGAUUCUGCUGUACUAGCUCUUUUCACCUCCACUUCUCCAUUUUAAAUCUCACUCUAGGUGGAAGAAAUGAUAACUUGAUAACAAACAGUUAUGUUUCAGGAAGCAGGUGGCAAGAGCUCAGCAUUGAGAGCUUCAACUUCUGCCUCUGAAUCAGCGAGUUGAUUUUGAAUGUCCAGCCCAAGUUUGCUAUAACUGACAAAUUGGCAAGUGGCAGUGAGUAAGAGCUGGAGCUCUGGAGAGAGACUGUUUAUUGAUUCAUAUACUAUCUGAGUGACCUAAUGAUUAUACACUACAAUUGUAUACAACGUUGAUGACCCUGAGUAUGUUGUUUAAUUAGACUUGGGGAUAAUUAAAUAAUUUGUAAACUAUAUAGCACAGUAGGCCUCAACCUAUGUGAGUUUUUUUUCUCACCCUUCUCUCUCUUGCCAUCCCCACCUACACACAAAUUUUUUGACUUCUAAUCCAGCACUAUAUGUUUUUCUGUCUCUUUCUUUCUGUUCUUUGAACAAGGGGUUUUUUCUUGGAAUACUCUGGACUGUGUUCCCUUGUAUUUCCCCUUCCUCACUGGAUAUAGCAGUUGAGGGCCUCUCUUGGAGCAGGAGCGAUUGGGCAGGGUUUCCAGCAUGCCCACUAUGAUAUGUAGGUAAUUUCAGGUUUCCACUUUUUCCUUGGUGUCCCUGAGAGAUGCCCAUUUGCAUUUUCACAGAGUGCAAGAAGGCAUUGGAAGUAAUAGAAUCUUCUAAAGUUUGGGCCAAGAUGGCUUUCUUGGAAUGAUUUCCUAGCAGAAUACUUCAUUCCCCUGGGCCUGUUAGCUAUUUCAGGGACAUUUUAAGUGGCUAUUAACAAAAUGUUGAAUUAUGGCUGCAAACUCCUGGGAGCUCAAGUGACAUUCACAUGAAUCACAGGUGAGCUCUGUGCAGUCAAGGCUGCCACAAUGGACUGAGAUUAAACAAACAGGGGCCAUUGUUCCCCCCAGAGCAAUGAGGCAAGAACGCCAUUUCUUGGAGCCUAUGAUUUCAGGCAAUGUGCCCCUUGGAUGCAGAACACUGUUCCAGGCAGGACACAUAGCUCAUUGCUGCAGGACAGACAGAUGCUCUCUGAUUUGCAGAGAGGUGUAUUUCAGUUUAACGUCUGCAAGAAUUUACCAACACUCAGCAUGUCCAGGAAUCUACCAGCCAUUCUCCGAGGUUAUGAGUUGCGCAGCACAUGGAUUCAACACACAUUUACUGAUGUUCCCUAUGUUCUAGACAUUGUGCUAGGCUCAAGAGAAGUGGAAAAGAAUAAUACCCAGUCGAGGCAUUCAAAGAGCUCACGGUUUAGUGGGGAAGCUAAACAGUAAACAGAAGAUUACUUUACACGAAAUAACCAAAGUUUGCCCAAUGUCCAGAGGUAACACAUGGUAGGCUCUGAAAAUUUUCCAAAAGGAGAUAAUAGCUAAAUUUUAUUCUUUUUAAAAAAACAAUUGGAAACAAUUUCAAACAUAUAGAUGUUGGAAAACUAGUUUGAAGAAUUCCUGUGUAUCCCUCACCCAGAAGUUCAACGGUGGUCCACUAAGGUCCUUCAUGGCUAAAGGAGUCCAUCCAGGACUACUACUCAUGCCCAGUUGUCAAGGUUCCCCUUACUCUGUCUUUACUCUCACACUGUAUCUGUUUUACCUUGAUUUUCAUGUCCUUGAUUUUUUUUUUUUAAUAAUUCAAGGCCAGUCAUCUUGCACAAUGAUCUCCAAUUUUAGUUUGUUCAAUGUUUCCUCUUGAAGACACCAGAUACGAUUUUUUUUGGCUGGAAUUUCACAAAACUGAUGCAGAAUUCUCAUUGCAGCCUAUCUGGAGGCAUGCAAUAUCUAUUUGUCCUAAUACUGAUAGCGUUAACUUUUAUCACUUGAUGAGGGUGUGUCUUCUGGGGAGAUACUUUGAGACUAUGUAAAAUUCCAUUUCUUAUUACUCUCUCACUCUCUGGUUUUAUCAUCCAUUGAUUUUUCUUGCUUGAAUUAUUAUAAUGAUCCUUGCCAAAUGGUGGUUUUUGAAUUUCAUCAUCCUUUCUACAGUUAUUAGUUGGUUUUCUGAAAUACAGAAGGGCUUUCUCUUUUUUCUCUUUAUGUAUUUAUUUACAUUGGUGAAGACUUAUAGAUUUCUAUUUUAUUCAAUAGGUUAUAGUCUGAUAAUAUUGUUGUUUAUUUUGAAACUCAAAUUUUCCCAUACUUGGGAACCCCUUCCAGCUGACUUUGUGUGCUUUUGACAUUUCUCUGUAUUUUUUGAAAGUUUUUUUUCUUUCUUGUGCAGUUAGAUGUUCAGGUUCAUUUUCUUCUUUUCCUUCCUCAGUCCUUUAACCAGCCAGUUCUCUAACAAACCUUGGUUCAUUUGAACAGGAAAUGCUAUUUAGAACCAAGAUCUGAGUUGCAGGUAUGCUCAGUACUACUAGGGUGUAGCUGCUUCCAGGCCUUCUCAGUGGACAGAGCUAGGAUAUUUACAUCUACAUUUACACCUACAUCUCAAACCGGGAAUUUACACAGAUGCUGCUUAUUCCAGUCUAACACCGCAGGGUUCAUUCUGGCUUUUCCUCCUUCCAUAUUGGUCCCUCCUUUCUGUAGCAGUAGGAAACCUAUGUCUUGUUACCCUCAGGUUAUUUACUUACACUCAAUUCUUUUGAAUGGCGCCCAUCUUCCUAUCCCACUGGGCUUCUGUUCUGCUUGGAUGCCCUCCUCUCCCCCACUCUGGUGCCCUCCUUGUGUGUGCUCUGGCUGCUACCAGCCUGUCUUUCAUUCAUAUUCAAAUUUCCCCAAUUGUCCCCAAAACAUGUUUACAGCUUUCUAACUUUUAAAAUUCAGGACCCAUUGAAGAUACAAUCAAGAUUCAUGUGUUGCAUUUGGUUAUUUUGUCUCUUUUAAUGAAAAAGCUCACCCCCCCAACCCACAUCACACACAGUUUUAAAAAUAGCUUUGCUGAGGUGUAAUUCUCAUUCCAUACAAUUCACCCAUAUAAAGUGUACAAUUCAAUGGUAUUAAGUGCAUUCAAAGCAUUCUGAAUUUUAGAACAUUUUUAUUACCUCAGAAAGAAACCCUGUACCCAUUAUCAAUCACCCUGCUUCCCCAAUUUCCAUCAAUCCCACCCCUCUAGUUCUAGGUAAUCAUUAAUCUAUUUUCUGUCUCUAUAGAUUUUCCCAUUCUGGACAUUUUGUAUAAAUGCAAUCAUGUAGUAUGUGGCCUUUUGUGAUAGAUUUCUUCCAUUGAGUACAACGUUUUCAAAGUUUAAUCAUGUUUUAGAAUGUGUUCAUAUUUUUUUCUUUUAUUAUCAAAUGAUAUUGCACUCUAUGGAUACACCACAUUUUAAUUACGCAUUUAUUGUAUACCACGUUUUAUUUAUCCAUUCAUCAGUUGAUGGGCAUUUGAGUCAUUUCAAUUUUUUGGCAAUUAUAAAUAAUGCUGAUAGUCGUACAUCUUUUAGUGUUGACUUCUGGAAGAAAACAAACCAGUUUUCUUAUAUAAUGAUCCCACAUACAAAUCUAUCUGUUUAUUUCCAUGUGGUCUCAGUUAAUUUGCUCCUCCCUUCUCUGUAUUUUUCUUCAUAAAGUAGAAGUUAGAUUUAAAAACAUGGUGAGAUUCAGGUCCAAACUGAGAAUUUAUUUCACUAGAGCUGCUAGAUCUUUCACUAGAGAUGUUAGUUUUUGAUCAUUUGUCUAAGACAAUAACUGCUAGGUAGCUCCAUUGCCUCAUCUCUCAUCUUCAAAUCAUCGCACAUCAUUUGUCAGAUGACACGACAACACCUUUAAACAUUCUAUUUAUGCUAAAAUUUGAACCUGAAUUAGUAAUUUCAUUAGAGGUUUCAAAAUAGUGAUUUCCCAAUUCUAUCAUUCUACAUGUAUCAGCUGACAUUCUGUUAUAAGGAAGAACUUCCACUCAUCAACUGGGCAUAAACUAUACUUUCUCCUAUGUAGGCAAGAUAAAUGCUUAUUCCUAUCCUUUAAUUACUGGUUUUCAGAGGAUUGGGUUGUGUAAUUAUUGCCAAGCUGGGCUUUGAGGGAUGAUUAAUUCUCAGAUGGACAAGGGAUAAGGGAUAAGGUAUUCACUAGAGUCGAACAAUGGCUAACAGAAUGAUUGUAGGUGAAAGGAGAGAGGGAAGGUUGGUAGGACUCCACUCAGUCAUAGUCAAGGCAACCAGACUCCUUCUGGAUCCCGUGAUAUCCCAUGGUGGGGCUCUUCAUUGCUCAAAUGUGGUUCUCUCACUAGUCUGGAGUCUGUGCAGGGCUGGAGCAGGGGUGGCAGGCACUAGGGUUGGUGGAGAAGGGCGGUGACAGCAUUGACCACGUGGCAUAAGGAAGUUCAGAAAGUGUCCAGUGUAAGGAUCCUAAUUAUUUAGCCUGCCCCUUCUCAUCUUGUCUCUUCCCUAGCACCUUUUCUUAAUUGGCACCCAAUGCUUGUGCUUCCAUGUGUGGAUCUCCAAGGAAUUCAUGCAGCAGACCCUCCUCAGUGGGAAUGGAAGAAGUGGGACAUCAAAGGAAAACUUCACAUGUGGAUUUCAUUUAAUUAAACUACCUGAAUAAAUGAUGAAGGCAGUGUUUUGUAGAAGAAACAGGGGAUUGGAAUCAGACUGCAUUUGAAUGCAGAUUCUCCCUUAUAAUGGUGCCAUAUCAGGCUGGUAUAUUUCAUUAGAAGCGUGGGAACCCUCAAGGACCCUGGGUACUCACUUGACGUUGAGAGAUGAGCCAUGUGUUUGUUACCUUCAGGGACAAUGUGUUUGCGGUUCCUGGGGUGAGAGAAUGUGGCCUGGUCAGAGGAGAUCACCUUGCAAAGCAGGUAGAAAGUGUCUGGGAACUUGGAUCCAUCAGCAAAUAUCAUGGGAAUUCCCUUUGCUUUACCAAUAAAAUCCUGACCCCUCACUAGGCAUGUCCCUGUGAUUUGGUCCCUGUAUGACCUGCCAGUCACACAUACCAUGUAUUCUAUCUUCCAGUGUUCAUUCCAAGUCACAAUGAACUAUUUGCAGCCCUCAGAAUGCUAUGAGAUUUCCUUCCUUCCUUCCUUCCUUCCUUCCUUCCUUCCUUCCUUCCUUCCCUC